CAAAUAGCCAUAAAUACCUAUGAGAGGAAAAAAAGAGCACAGUUUUAGCCCAUCGCAUAGCCUUGUUCCCCCUCAUUAUGUGAAUGCACAAACAUCUGAAAGAAGGGAGAGAGAAAUGCCAGGGGCAGUAAGUAGGCACAGGUGAAGACUGAAAGGUGAUGACCAUGACCCUAGAAAAAGUUUUGAGAAAACAACCUCAUUACGAGACGUACCUUGCAAUAGAUGUUUGUUUAAGUGGAAAUCCACCAGAGCAGCUGCCCAGUGCAACGGUACAUAUUUGCUUCUGAAUCCUUUCUCAAAGGCACUAUUUAAACAUGUUGAUGAACUGGGCUGGAUUUAUCCCCACCUCCAUUCCAGCAAAACAAGGAGACUCAGAAGAUAAAAUUUGUUUUGUUAUUGCAAGUGGUGCUCCAUGGUUUUAGACAUUAUAGCGAACAUCUUUGCCAUCUCAAGGAUAUACACAGAAUGUUUCUGCUUGAUGUUUUCUGUGAGGAGACCAGGGAAUUGAGGAGAGGUCAGGGAGCUGCUGACCUCUCUACCGGAUGAUGGAGGUGCAGCAUUAAAUAAGAGAUGUGAACUCACCAUAGCAACUCCUGCAUCACAUUGCAGAUAUGCUGCUUCUAAGAUACGGCAAAUGUUUCUGAAGAAAUGUACCUGAAUUUGAGGUUCUUCUGUUACUGCUGGAGAGUUUUCCUGGGAGACACAUGAAACAUCUUUAGUCAGUUGGUUAUGUGCUCAAGGGCUAAAGGCUUCUUUCCCCUCUGUAUCUAGCCCAUGGGAACUAAGUGGAAGAGGAGGAGACAGAGGAGAUUGCUAGUUCUACUAAGUUACUACUCAUAUAAAAGCUUAUCUGGUUAUCUUUUCUUGCUUCUUCUCCUAAGACUACUUUAGCCUCCUUGCACUAAAAAAACUAACUAAUUUGUAGUGAACAGGAUAUCUGAAGACAUCUACUCUUUUUCUGGAGAAAAGAUUACACAGGGUGUUGUUCAAAAUAGUGGCUCACAAUGGAUACAAAAAUGCUUCUCAUUUGUGAUUGUUGAUGGCCAACAUGGCCAACACAGUAAGAUGAACCAUAAUGUACCUAGAUGCCAAUUGUCAAUAGAAACACAGAGCAUUAUACCUACAGAUUUCUUCUACAGAAUAUCACAAAACUAAUAAAAAUUAAGAGUGUUGCAUGAAUUGUCUAUGGGCUUUACCUCUGAAUUUUUAUCCAAUGUAAUCAACAGUAGCACUUGCUUUCUACAUUUCAUGGAAGAAAUCACUGUACUUCAUGAAAAACAUCAACCACACCUGGGCACUGCAAUAUUGCUUUAGCUCCAACGUCAGUUGAAGGCCAAAUGAGAGAUCUCUGCAACCCCACAAUCUCUGCAAUCUCUGCAAAAGAUGUUACUGCAAAAUAUGUAGGUAUCUUCAGUAUACUGAAAUUUCUCUGAAAUGUCCAAGUUCAGAAAAGCAAAUACAAUAUGAUCCAGCAGUUAUUGUUCAGACGUACUCUAGAUUUAUGCCCUCUAUUUAAUAUUCUGAACUCUUUGUUAGAAAUAUUUUACGUCUCAGAUAUUAAUAGUGAAAAAUCUUGAGCUAUGUUAAAACAAAUUAAUUUGUUAAAAUAUCAGUUAUCAGUCUAUGAAGAUGUCAUUGUUUUUGCCAGAAAAAAAAUAAUGUGAAAAUUGAGCAACCAAAUUGAGCUCUGAAACAGCUUCAGUGACAGAGACAUAAUUAAAUAAAUCUAAAAAAAAAAAAUAAAUUAAAACAGAUAUUAAUAUGCAAAAGUUCUAUAUUCUUUAAUAAUUAUUUAAAAGAAUUCUACUAAGCAGUAUAACCUAUUUUUUUGGCAAUAUUUUCAAAAUAUAACUUUUAAAGAAACCAGGAUCUUCCUAAAUGUAGAAGUUAUGAAAAGAAUCGUUUGAAACAGGCUCAGACAUAUUACUCUUUAAUAAUUCCAGUUUCUGGUUUGUCAGAUGUGAGGUAGGAGUAAGAAUAGGAGUAUAUGCUUGGAUAAAAUGCCCUUGCUAUUACUGAGAAAUACGUGCCAACAGACACAGAUUAGGGUUGAAAUGGUGCUGCCCCCAGAUUACUGAAAUUUAUGUCUUUGAAUGUACGUUUUUUUCGUGCUCAAAGUUGCUUUUUCUGUGCUUAGAAAUCAUAGACUUGUGCAAACUAUCAGACUUUAUACAUAUAUAUGUAUAUAUAUGAAUAAGAAUGAAAAAGUUUACUAUCAUGGAAUAUAGUUUUAAUAACUUCCUUAUGGCUAAAACUGAUUUUUAGCUUACUGAUGAAUGUUUAUCACUGCCUUAUUUUACCAAUACCUUUCGAUUAUUUUGAAUUUCUAGGCUUCUAAUGAUUUAGAAAAUAAAUAAGAACUGUUUAGUGAAGUUUAUUUUAUUGUCAAAAUUCUUGCUCUUAUAUACCUCAGAAACCAAGUUAAAAGUUUAAACUACUGCUGCAUUUCAUGAAGCCCUUGCUGCCAUACUGGAUCUCCCAGUCUUUGCCUGUUUGCUAAGGAGUGAACUACCCAUUAUUUUGACACGCUCCUUCAUUUGUCCUGAGAAUUCAUGACAUUUCAAAAUAGGAAAAUUCAGGAAGGUCUUCUCCCAUGGUACAGAAAUGCAAAAAACUGAAGUAUAAUGAAAAUAUUUUUAGUAACAAAAUUGGAGAUUUAAUUAAUGGCUCUAAGUGUAUAUACAUACAUGUAUAUGUAUACACACAAAAUAAACGAACAUAUUUCUUUACCAAAGAUGCUUAAAAAUCCUAUGUCGAAAUCUCCUCAUGAAGCGCAUCCACCUCAAAUGUAACUUAUUUCAAUUACAGCACUGUUUCCCUACUGUAUUUUCUAUUUUCUUUCUCUCAUGGAGCAUUAUUUAUGUUCACAGUAACUGAUGAUCCACAGCAACAAAAGGAAUGAUUCCCAGCAAUACUGUGUGUUCCAUGCCCCAGACCCAAGCAGCCUUGACCAUGGCUCGUAAGCCUAUCUCUCCCCUACCUUAGGACUUGGGUGCUUCUGGUUGUAGCUCAACUCUCCAUAUGACCCAGAAAUCUGCCCUCUGAAGACCCCAGAGGGAUGGAUGCCUUUCCUCCCAGAAGUACUGCACUAAGAUGCAUUUAACCUCCGAUUAUUACUGUUAGUGGGUAUAACACUUGCUGCUAUUCUGAUAGAGAAACACCACCGAAGGUUGCCUAUGCCAGGAUUUACAGCGCACUUUCCAGCUAAUUUUCUUUGAGAUGCUCAUGAUGCUCAGUUUUGACUGUGCUGUUGGCCAGCCUAGGGAUAAUGUAAACCAUGUUCCCAUGGUCAUACAAUGUAUUGCAGAGCAACCUAGCAGUGCCUUAGCUUCCCAUCUUCUCCAACCCUCCUUUCCAAGUAAUAAUACCUCUGCAAUUCUGUUUCUGUGGAAAGGGUACCGUUUGUUUCCUUUUUCUCUUUGGUGUCUAUUGGAUUUGGCAUUGGCCUGCUGAUUGUCUCUUAUGGUGACAUCCCCCACAAGUUAGAUACUGAAAACUAGGAAUUGUUGGUUGUAGUUUUCAGAUGUCUGAAAUAAUAAUGCAAACUGAACUGAUUAGAAAAUAAUAAAAAUCUAGAUUAUGAUUAAAGAUUUAGGUUUAUACACUCACUGUAGUUGUAGACAUGUAAGUAGUCAAUGCUAGUAUAGCAUAGUAUCAAUGCUGGCUACGAUUUCCCUGUAUUGACUUGAGGUCCUUCUGUUUAGCAGUCAUGGGGGUAUAUCUGUGCUGUUAUUCGUCCUUGUCAACAUAAAUCACUAAACCCUCAACAACCCGUAUCUAAGUGAGCCAAAGGUUUGCUUAUAUGGCUAUCCAAACAAGUGUGACAGAAGUGUGCCAUUUUCUGUAACCAGUGACAGACAGAGGUGGGACAUGACCAGCAAUGCGCUCGGCUCCCUUUGAAUCCAUGACCUGAAUAGACAAGGUUCUAUUUAUAACUGGAUUUAUUAAAAAUGAGAUUUGGCAUGAGCACAGGCUUUCGCUUGGACUUUGAUCUCUGAUCUGAAGGGGAGGUCUCAGUCUCAACCUCUUCCCCGAAUGAAACAGCAGCCACAACAGUGAGCCAUGGAAAUAUCAUAUCUCACUAUUCAUAUUGGUAUAGAUAUUCAUUGGGUACACCAUGUCAUUAAAAAUCAAGUCACAUCCCUCUGCCUUAUUAACUUUGCAUCACAAGAGUUUAUUUCUUCUUCACUUUUCUUCCACCUGCUUUACUUCUGAUUGAAAGAAUCUGUUCCAAAUAUCAUGAAAUGUCAUUAAAAAUUACUGUUUUAUACUGCUUAAAUUUUUAUUUUCCUUAACAUCUCAUUUCUAGUUUUCUUUUUAAAGAAAAGUUGGUGUCAUCUUUGUAAAAAUUAAGUGUCAGCAUUUACGUGGCUUAGAGUAAUACCACAAAACUUCCACUGUUACCUCUUUAGAUUUAUGGACAAGAUGACAAUUUUUUUCUAGUUCUGUGUUUUUGUGGUGCUUUCAUUUAAAAUGUUUGAAAAAGAAUGAUUAUUUCCUUUUUGUGGUAAAUAUUUCUUUUUAGACAUCACAUAGUAAUUCCUUAUCAAUGGACUUUGAAAUUAAUGAGCCUAAGAAAUGGAUAUAGUAUUGUAUAGCUUACUGCUGAGUAUAAAAUUCAUUCCAGUCAAGAGAAUGGAACACAAUGAGUCCUGGACAGAUAUAGGAAAACAGCUAAACCUGUCCCAUUGACUUACUGAUACAAAUGGUCCAUUUUAAAUAUUGUACUUCAAAGUCAUAUCUGUCAAUUCAUAUUUCUUCCCCUACUUCUUUUUCUUUAAAAUUUUACUUUCAGCUAUUUGAUUUAAAGGAAAAAAGAGAUCAAAUUCUCUUCAUUUAUCUUUUUACUGGAAAUAUUUUGGAUAAGUUCUUUUUGUUCUUGUUUUCCCUGCCCGUGCAGUAAUUUUUGCAUAGAAUAUCAUUAUGGAUAUAUUUUGCAAUGUAGUAACGGGUAACACAACACAAGCACAUUCAUUCUCUUAAUUAAAUGAGCUAUAGCUCUUUGGCUGAAGCAAACAAUAAUAUUAUUUAUAACUCAAAUUACAUUAUAUAAAGUGUGCUCUCAUCUAUAAAGAGAUGACAUGGUAGGGUUCUGUGUUUGCUUUAUUACUAUUUUUUUUCUUCCCAAUGAGUUUCUUGUAGACCUCUCUUAAUUUACAAAUAAAACCAUGACUUUUGUGAUUACCAGCAAUGAAAAUUCAUCCAGAGAUCUUAGAUCAAGCUGUGUUUUUUCUGGUUUAUGCCAAAAUAGACUCCAGUUCACCUCCUCAGCGCUGAGGUGGCUCUUGGAGGGCUGGUGGGAACAAAAAGCAAUAACAGUGCUUUUGCCAGUAAAAAGAUGAAGUGAACAAAUUCUUUCAGAAGUAGGAAGACACCAGUUUUCAAGUCAGCUUUAUAGAAAACAGCCGUUGUUUGAAACAAAUGCUCAUAGCAGGGUUGGGUGGAAAGGUCAAUUGCUUGAUGUUCCUCUGCAGCCUUCCUUCAUUUCUUCUCCCUUUUGAUCAUUCCAGCUCAGCAUGCAUUUGCAGUGAUUCCUGAAGCUAAGCAGCUUGUGGUUUGGUUGCACAGCCUUUUUCCCUGGUGGAAGUGCUGGACUCAUGUGUUUCUGCCCUCUCCUAAUUGCUGGCAUGAUUAUACUUGUGGUGAUACAACUGUGUCUGGGGCUGCUCCAUGCAUUUGAUGGAACUGAUUUUUGUGGCAGCUCUUGGGCUCAUUGCUUUGGAGCCAAGUCUCCAAGACACAUUGGCAAUUCUAUCUUGCUCACCUUCCAUUGGCUUUUCUUCUUGCUUCAGGAUUUGUGGGAUAUCAGGUGAAAUCUAGGGAAAGCAGUUUCCCAAUUAUUUUUCUCAAAUCCCACCUGAAGACGGAAUUGUGCACAGUUCUUCUCACUUAGCUGUAAAACUCUCCAAAAUUGUAUGGUUUUUGUUGCUGUUGUUGUUGUUGCUUGUUGUUUCUUUUCUCUCUCUCUUUUUUUUUUUUUUUUUUUUUUUAAGUUACUCUCCCACAGCAUAAUUGGCAAAUUAUACCUUUGCUCUGUCUGAUGGAAAUACCAUGCUUUGGAAUGAUCUAUGAAGGCUGAGUUCCGCCAUGCUGAUGGAGUGCCUACCUUCCUUUGGGAACUUGGCAUCCCAGUAGGACCCAGACACAGGACCUAAUGCUCUCCAGCCAUGGACCCAUGAAGGGAGAGAGGCUCCUCCUUGCUCAGCACAGGGCAAAGAAGUGUGGACAUAGCACAGCCUUUUUAAAAUCUGCAGUUUAAUGGGACCUGGACAGAAGUGAACACAUUUACAGUGAAAUGCAGUUUGGGAAGACAGAUAAUAACACUCAAUUUCUACUCGUCAUUUUACUGAUGGAUAGUCUAGAGGAGGUGAGGUGUUUCAUCUUGGGAUAAUUUUUGUGGCUCACCUCUGGAUGUGCUCCAACAGAUCACAUCUAUGCUGUACUGAGAACUCAACAUCUGGACACAGUACUCCAGGUGAGGUUUCCCCAGAGCAGAGUGGAGGGCCAGGAUCUCAUUAUGCUGGCCAUGCUUCUUUCAAUGCAGCCCAGGAUAUAGUUAGCUUACUGGGCUGUGAUGGCACACUGCUGGUUCACAUCCAGUUUGCCAUCCACCAGUACCCUGAAGUUCUUUUUGGCAGGGUACUGCUCAAACCUUUCUAGGUCUUUCCAGAUGGCAUCUUUUCCCUCAGGUCUGUUGACUGCUCCACACAGCUUGGUGUCACCCGCAAACUUGAUCCCAACAUCUAUUGCCAUACCACCAACAUUUGCCUCUGAUGUCAUGGGCAAGCAUAAUAAAAGAGGAGGCAUUACUUUUGGAGCUGCCCUCUGCAAAUUUUAUUCUAAAAUUUUGAAUGUCUGUAGUAAUACCACUCCAGUCUAUAUUUAAACUGUCACUAAGUUAUCUUUAGUUGCAACAGAAUCCUACUAAUUCUAGAAAAAAGAACAACUGCUGAGUGACGUACUUGGGGUAAAUGCAGUAUUAAAAGUUUUAAUUUAAAAGUUUUUAUUCACAAAUUGACAUGAAGUCUCAGCAGGACUUCAGGACAAAAACUGAAGUUAUUUGGCAUACUUUAUGUAUAAUUGGGCUCAUUAACUGCAAGACUCAGCACAAGUCACAUUUUCCAAGUAAGAUCCUGAUGUACCCUACUUCACCUGGACACUUUCUAAUUAAUACUGAAAUACAUAUACAACUCCCAGCUCACUCCAUUGCCCAGCCCCCAUCAUUCCUUAACAGAAGUUUAAGGUUGUGUGAUCAAGCACCUGAAGGGCCGUGCUCUCAGGUCAUGCCCAUUGCACAAGCAUGCCUAAUGUUCAGUGCUCUGGUGUUUCCAUGUUCACUGUUGCUAUGCCUGCCAGUGUGGAGGUAGCAAGUAAAUCCUGGAAAGUCCCAGUAAACUUUUAUCAAACAGAUUUGGAACAUUUGGCUGCCAAACACUGUAGCUGUUAUGUGAACUAAGCCUGCAGCUCUCAGGGAGCUUGUAAUCUUCUGAGCCUGUAGACAUGUCAGUAUUUGAUCCAACAUGACUCAAAAGCACCUUAUGGGUUCAGUUGAAACUAACUGUAAGUCAAAGUCCAGUUUGGCAAAACAUCUGAGCCUAAAAAUACUCUUAGAAAUUGUAAAACCUGGAAAUGUUUCUUCUGCAAAUAAUUAACAGAGGGCAUAAAAUUUUUUAUUUUGAAACCAUUGCUUUGUUUCGAAAGUGACUGAAGUGUUACGGUGAAGUCAAGGAAGAAUUAAAUAAGUUCAGAAUAAAAUGAUCAAUUAAAACAUCUAGUUGGUUGAACUGCCACAGGCUGCUCUAUAGCCAGUAUGUAGAAAGCACUAACGUGCCAGUCUCAUGUCUACUGGGGAGAAAAAUAAAGCAGACAUGUUUUGUGUUAUUCAGCACCAUUUCAAGUUAUGCUUUCACGGAAUUGAGUCUGAUAGACUACUUCAUUGUGAUUCAUCUGCCUCGGCAUGCUGAAGAACAGAAAGCAAACAGGUUCAGAAGAGAAGGCCAUGACCUCAUCAAUUUGAAUACCCGCCCUACUUUGUGGCUGUCAUUAACCUGCAGUCGUUGACCAAAGGAAUCAUAAAUGUUCUAUUACAAGUAGUGACUGAUAUACUGGCUUUAAAAUCCACAGACAUAUCUGUUAAAUGAAUCAGCAACAGUUACUUUGACUACAGUUACUCAGGCUUUAUUUUAUUCUGAAAUAUGGUAUGACCUGGCGUCUAUUUCACUUGCCCACACGGAAGUAAUGAUAUCCAAAAGUGGGAAGAUAAUAAAAUGCACAAAAUUUAUCAUAAUUAUUUCCAAUUAUUGCAGUUAAAGGAGCCUUGAGGAUUUUGGAGUAGAAAAAGCCCAUUCAGGCAUGCAGUCUGAAAUAAAUUCAACAUUCCGUUUGUAUGUGGAGUUGAGAUUAUAGUCUGCAGCUCAAAAAUAUCUCUUCAGUAGGGAGAGCAUGUCAGCACAUCCUUGAUUAUCACUUCUAUGACUUGGGGACAUGGUGCAGUACAAAUAAUAUAAACAUAACAUUAAAAUAGCAAGAAGAACAUAUCCUAUAUGCGGAAGAAAUUGCAAGGUGAUGUCAAAGGAACUAAAGAUAUCUCAAGGAAGUGCCAAUUUCUCAUUACACUAAGAUGGUGCAUUACACGUAGCAUAAGAAAAAGAAAACAUAUUUUAAACUCUUUAGUGUUUGCAAUAUAUUUGGUAUAAUUAUUUUAUGUUCAAUUUAUGUGUUUCCUACAACUUACUAUUUCUCUUGUUGUUGAAAAGUUUUUUCCCCUCCACUGUUUCUAAGAUCCCAUUUUAUCGGUGGUUGUUUGAAAAAUCAGAUUUCAUUGAUGUCUGAAAUAGCAGAGAAAAAUAUCAAUUGCAAUCAGUUCAAAGAGAUUUCAUAUAUGUGUAAGCUGAUUUCUAAUACCAUAUAAAAUGUUUCCACAUAAAACAACUUUUUGCUUUAAUAGAAGCACAACUAUUUCUAUAUUCCUUACCAUAAAAUCUGUCCAAAAUUUUUGCAUGUGGAUGUUGCUAUAAAUCAAAUUUUGUCUACCUGGUGUUGUUACAAAGGAGAAAAAAAUCUGAAUAAGGAAAUUCAAGCCAUUACCUACACAACUGAUAAAACGUCACAGACAGCAUUUUAAGACCCAAGAAGAAUCUAAAUAUGAAGACACGAUGACAAUCAAGAUUGUGACCUAGUAAUUCCCUCAGGUAAAUAUGGUUGUGACUUAACUUCUGCUAAAUGUUGAUGUGUGCUUUAAAUCCACUUAUUUCAAAAUUAUGUAAGAGAAAAAUUUGAUUCUUUCCA